AGCAAAUAUCGAUGCGUAGCACAACUCGACAGAACACCGGUUCUGUCUCGGACAGUCUUUGCUGCCGCUGCCGCUGCUGCAUAUUUGGUGUGUCAUGGUAGACAGAGACCUCAAGUCAAUGCUGUACAGAAAGUGUUUCCACACUGUAUAAUAUCGCUGUCUUGGUUUCAUGUUCUUUAGGCAGUUCAUCGCUGGAUGCAACAUCAAGAUGAAUGCAAAAAGCAUCCAGCUGUCAUCAGGUCAUUGAUAGCUCUCAAAGAAUCUGCAACAGUAAGUUAUAAACUUAGUUGUCUCAAAAAUGUUUUGUCUGUAGAUGGUCUCUUAAAACUCAUGUUAGUCUUCAUUGGUUUUCCAAGAAUCAGACUUCGAAGAGAGGUCAAACUAAGUGGUAGUCAGCAUUGAUGAACUGACGGGCAUCACAAUCAUCUCAAACUAUUUAAAAAUGCACUGGCCCACAUUCUAAGAUGUGGGCCAAUUUUGGAUGAAGAGUAUUCCACCAAAAUAGUGAAUCCUAUAAUUUGGCUGAGAGGUAUGGAUAUAUCUGUAGUAUACUGCAAUGAUUACCAAUCCUGUUCCUGCAUAUUUCAAUGUUGC